UGCCAUGUUUUGAAGCCUUUGCCAUCAAAUUGGUUUGGCAUCAGUCCUUGAGUGAACACACUAGGGACAGUCGGAGGAGUUUGAACUGCCACCGGACCACUUGCAGUUGCUGAAAUGGAACCCGUCUGAUAAAGACCAGCACCGAAUAGGGUACGGCGAGUGGUUUCAUCAGCAGCAUUCCCCGCAGGGAGGAAAGUGCUCGUUGUUGCUGCAGUGGUUGACGCUGUGAUGU
rnacentral:lncRNA from 1 species